rnacentral:rRNA from 1 species
CCUACGGGUGGCAGCAGUGGGGGAUAUUGCACAAUGGGGGGAACCCUGAUGCAGCGACGCCGCGUGAGCGAUGAAGUCCCUCGGUAUGUAAAGUUCUAUCAGCAGGGAAGAAAAUGACGGUACCUGACUAAUAAGCCUCGGCUAACUACGUGCCAGCAGCCGCGGUCAUACGUAUGGGGCGAGCGUUAUCCGGAUUUACUGGGUGUAAAGGGAGCGCAUGCGGCCUGCCAGGUCUGGUGUGAAAACCCGGGGCCCAACCCCGGGACUACAUUGGAAAAUGGCGGGCUGGAGAGUCGGAGGGGCAGGCGGAAUUCCUAGUGUAGCAGUGAAAUGCGUAGAUAUUAGGAGGAACACCGGUGGCGAAGGCAGGCUGCUGGACGGUGACUGACGCUGAGGCUCGAAAGCGUAGGGAGCAAACGGGAUUAGAUACCCGGGUAGUC